AUGCGCGAUCAUACCAGCACUAAAGCACCGGAUCGCAUCAGAACUCCGAAGUUAAGCGUGCUUUGCGAGAGUAGUACUAGGAUGGGUGAUGUCCUGGGAAGUCCUCGUGUUGCAUCCC
rnacentral:rRNA from 1 species